rnacentral:rRNA from 1 species
CAGCAGCCACGGUAAUACGAGGGGGGCAAGCGUUGUUCGGAAUUAUUGGGCGUAAAGGGCGCGUAGGCGGUUUGGCAAGUUUGGUGUGAAAUCUUCGGGCUCAACUCGAAGUCUGCACCGAAAACUGCCGGGCUUGAGUAUGGGAGAGGUGAGUGGAAUUUCCGGUGUAGCGGUGAAAUGCGUAGAUAUCGGAAGGAACACCUGUGGCGAAGGCGACUAUCUGGGCCAACACUGACACUGAGGCACGAAAGCGUGGGGAGCAAACAGGAUUAGAUACCCCAGUAGUCCCUGUCUCUUAUAC